rnacentral:rRNA from 1 species
UACGGAGGGAGCUAGCGUUAUUCGGAAUUACUGGGCGUAAAGGGCGCGUAGGCGGUACUUCAAGUCAGGCGUGAAAGCCCCGGGCUCAACCUGGGAACCGCGCUUGAGACUGGAGAACUAGAGUUCGGGAGAGGAUGGUGGAAUUCCCAGUGUAGAGGUGAAAUUCGUAGAUAUUGGGAAGAACACCGAUGGCGAAGGCAGCCAUCUGGACCGACACUGACGCUGAGGCGCGAAAGCGUGGGGAGCAAACAGG